CAGUCCGCAGAAAAGGAACACUACAAAGCAAAACCACUGCUACAGCCUACAACCCUGCCUGACUAACUAAAUCGAGCAAACAAUCAUAUUUAGCAGCAGGAGGGAGAGAGUGAAUCCAAACAUGGGGAGACAUGUACAAAUGAUCAGCCGAAGCCAAAGCGUCUGCAGAAACAUUUGCUGUUGGAAUUUUUGGAAAGAUUCAAGUGUUCAUCUGACCCAAGUAUUGUGAGUGUACGCUUAUGAGGGUCAUAGGUUGUUGUAUCCUGGAGAGUAGGGCGCCAUACAACCUUGCUACACCGAGACAUUGUCUCCGAGGGGCGAAAUCUACUCUUAAGGACAGUGACUACACGCCUCAACCUAAAACUAUUAAGUAUCAAUGGAGACCAACUUCUACAUCCCAAAAGAUAAGUAUUUUACUGUAAUUUUCAUUGAUUUUAUUUAAUCUACUCUAUCAAUGUAAAUUACAAUUUUCUAAUAAUUAUUUCAUAUAAUGUUUUGCAGGAAAAGUAGCAUCCAUAAACCAAUUUAUCCAACAUUUGCCUCACGCGGGACACGCUGAAAGGAGAUUUCCUCAAAACAAGCCAAGAAAUGAAUAUUCUUAACCAAGGUGUAGAGACGCCAGGGGACUUCACCACCAUUUCGAUAGAAACUCCUAUGUAAUAUGUUAUAUUCAGUUUAUCUUUCUCAUCACAUAAUCAAGGUUAAUCAAUUAAUCAUAUACGACGAGAGAAAUAAAGAAAAAGACGAGUAUACAACACAAGUGUGAUGAGAGAUAUAAAGGGAGCAUGGUAAGUUGGUAACCAGGGCUUAAAUUCCAAUUGAACAUUUACUGAAUACCAAUAGACAAACAAUUAAUCUCUCAAUCAAAACAUGUAGAGUCUUUCCAUUCCGAGACAAGCAAGCUGCAAGCACACGACAUAGCAGGUAGGUUGCAGCAGUCACGUGUUCCUAACGGGCAGAAAACUGCCAAGCUGCACCAUAGAUAAUGUGAGCAGUAUAUAGGAACCGUGGAAAGUUUGCUUUCCAUCAGGGCUUCUUGUUCUUUUCUUUUUUAUGCAAAUAUAUCAGCCCCCUUUGGGUAUAUAUAAUAUCUGAGGAUGUCUGUGUUAUCA